rnacentral:ncRNA from 1 species
UUCUUCAGGGUUGGGUGCAAUUCCCUACCGGCGGUGAAGCUGUUUUUCCGGAAAGGAAGACAGACGAGUCCGCGACCCGCCAUCGGCGGCUGAUCCGGUUGGAAUCCGGAACCGACAGUACAGUCUGGAUGGAAGAAGAA